UGGGGAAUUUUGGACAAUGGGCGAAAGCCUGAUCCAGCCAUGCCGCGUGAGUGAAGAAGGCCUUCGGGUUGUAAAGCUCUUUUAGUCGGAAAGAAAGAGUUGCAAUGAAUAAUUGUGAUUUAUGACGGUACCGACAGAAAAAGCACCGGCUAACUACGUGCCAGCAGCCGCGGUAAUACGUAGGGUGCGAGCGUUAAUCGGAAUUACUGGGCGUAAAGGGUGCGCAGGCGGUCUUGCAAGUCAGAUGUGAAAGCCCCGGGCUUAACCUGGGAAUUGCGUUUGAAACUACAAGGCUAGAGUGCAGCAGAGGGGAGUGGAAUUCCAUGUGUAGCAGUGAAAUGCGUAGAGAUGUGGAAGAACACCGAUGGCGAAGGCAGCUCCCUGGGUUGACACUGACGCUCAUGCACGAAAGCGUGGGGAACAAACA
rnacentral:rRNA from 1 species